AGUUCCUGGACCAGAUAAAGGGCAUCUUUGAAAAACCUACGGCUCCCAUCUCAUAUCAGCCAGGGACAAAGAAACCCCUUGUUUAUCCCAGCUUGGCUUUUGAUCUGUGCUUAUACCUGGUUCAUGCCUAGGGCACAUGG